UCCAUCAAAUUGACUAGUUGCAGGUAGUGGGCUGUGUUUCCAUCAAAUUGACUAGUUGCAGGUAGUGGGCUGUGUUUCCAUCAAAUUGACUAGUUGCAGGUAGUGGGCUGUGUUUCCAUCAAAUUGACUAGUUGCAGGUAGUGGGCUGUGUUUCCAUCAAAUUGACUAGUUGUAGAUAACAGGCUGUGUUUCCAUCAAAUUGACUAGUUGCAGGUAGUGGGCUGUGUUUCCAUCAAAUUGACUAGUUGCAGGUAGUGGGCUGUGUUUCCAUCAAAUUGACUAGUUGCAGGUAGCGGGCUGUGCGUGAUUACAUAGUGCACAUGAAAAAACUUUUUUGCGAUUUGGUAUUGAUACGUUCGUUCUAGCCAACAGCUGGCAGUGUGCAGAGACAGGGCCGCUGGCUGGAGCGCACCUAUAGCCUACAUGAGAUGUGUUAUUAUAGUGGACAAAAGAGAAUCAUUGUGUUUGUCAAACGGCUGCCAAGCAUCGAUCAUCAUGUGGGCAGAAUAAGACCCUUGAUAUUUAUUGGAAAGGAGCAUCAAGCUCAUCACUGUGGACAUUCACCACACUGAAGUUCAUAACUUAUUUUAUUAGUUUAAUAAACUGUACGUGUUCCCAUUGAGUUGUUGUGGGAGGACCACACAACUGUGACUACAAGUUAACUUAGAAAUUAUGGUUAUUAUAUCAAUAUUUGCUUCAUAAAGUCUGGCUGGUUUCAUGUUUCGUCGACAUUUGGAAAGUUUACCGAAAAUGUUUGUUUGCAUCAGACCUGUUGUUUGUUUGUUUGUUUAAACGAUGUGUGCUUUACACUCGUGAAAAGAUUGGAUGGAAACCUUGUGACACGGUUGAAUCAACAGGUUUCCUUGAUGUAGUGUCAUCAGGAAUGGUCUUUGGUGUUUUUCAUUAGUCCAACGUGUUAAAGAAUUUGAGAGGAGCGUUGUUAAAUUGUGUUGUGUUUAUAGUGUCUGUUUUCACAUCAAAGUGCACCACUUUUAUUUUAAAGACUUUAUUUUGCGACUUAAAGAAGUGUAUUAAUGUAUAAUCGAGAGAAUACGCCGAAGGUAGAACUGGAUGGGAACACAACUAAACUAGCUGAAUGCCAUAAUACACAGUGAUUUAGGCCAGCUAUGUCUGUUUUUCAUUUUUCUGUUGAGAUUGUCAUUUCAAUACUGCUAGUACUGCUACUGUCCACCAGAUGGCAAUGUUUAGCAGUUUAACCUCGGUCUCCGGUUCUACCAUGGCUGCCUGCAAAUUAGGUUUUCUAAACACUUAAUUUGAUAUCUGUUGACCUGACUUUACUUACUUUGAUCUGAAUGUCAUUGCUUGACUUGUUUCUGUGUUUCAAAUCUUUUGGUUACAGACGCAUUCCAUGAAUCAUUAAAAUGAUCUUUCAGAUUAUACUUUGA